rnacentral:rRNA from 1 species
UGGCGACCGGCGCACGGGUGAGUAACACGUAUGCAACCUGCCCGUCUCAGGGGGAUAAUCGUCGGAAACGGCGUCUAAUACCCCGUAUGAAGCUGGACGGCAUCGUCUGGUUUUGAAAGAAUAUCGGAGACGGAUGGGCAUGCGGCGCAUUAGCUAGUUGGCGGGGUAACGGCCACCAAGGCGACGAUGCGUAGGGGUUCUGAGAGGAAGGUCCCCCACACUGGUACUGAGACACGGACCAGACUCCUACGGAAGGCAGCAG